rnacentral:rRNA from 1 species
GACGAACGCUGGCGGCGUGCUUAACACAUGCAAGUCGAACGGAAAGGCCUCUUUCGGGGGGUACUCGCGUGGCGAACGGGUGAGUAACACGUGAGUAACCUGCCCUUGACUUUGGGAUAACUUCAGGAAACUGGGGCUAAUACCGGAUAGGAGCUCCUGCUGCAUGGUGGGGGUUGGAAAGUUUCGGCGGUUGGGGAUGGACUCGCGGCUUAUCAGCUUGUUGGUGGGGUAGUGGCUUACCAAGGCUUUGACGGGUAGCCGGCCUGAGAGGGUGACCGGCCACAUUGGGACCGAGAUACGGCCCAGACUCCUACGGGAGGCAGCAGUGGGGAAUAUUGCACAAUGGGUGGAAGCCUGAUGCAGCAACGCCGGGGGCGGGAUGACGGCCUUCGGGUUGUAAACCGCUUUCGCUCAUGACGAAGCUUUGUGUGACGGUAGUGGGUAAAGAAGCACCGGCUAACUACGUG